GCCAUGUACUGCUACCACGAUCAGUUUCAUUUUCCGAUCACACUGCUGCUCUUUAUAGAUGAGGAGAAGAAUCACCACCAGUCGGCGGUUGCUGGAAAGGAAUAAUUUGAAUGUUUUAUGGGAUGAGUAGUCCUUUACUCUUCAAAUAAUGAAAGAAUGGAAGAAUUCACUUCUGGAAACUGGAGCUGUUCAACAAGUGAGCGGUCACGUUGACCUCUACCAGGGCCAAGAAGACAGAAGACAGACUUGCCCGAAAUGUGAUAAAGAAUUCAUCGCAAGUAAAAAUGUCACUCCAUGUUUA